rnacentral:rRNA from 1 species
CUACGUGCCAGCAGCCGCGGUAAUACGGAGGGUGCAAGCGUUAAUCGGAAUUACUGGGCGUAAAGCGCACGCAGGCGGUCUGUCAAGUCGGAUGUGAAAUCCCCGGGCUCAACCUGGGAACUGCAUUCGAAACUGGCAGGCUAGAGUCUUGUAGAGGGGGGUAGAAUUCCAGGUGUAGCGGUGAAAUGCGUAGAGAUCAGGAGGAACACCGAUGGCGAAGGCAGGUCUCUGGGCUGUAACUGACGCUGAGAAGCGAAAGCAUGGGGAGCGAACAGGAUUAGAUACCCUGGUAGUCCAUGCCGUAAACGUUGGGCACUAGGUGUGGGGGACAUUCCACGUUUUCCGCGCCGUAGCUAACGCAUUAAGUGCCCCGCCUGGGGAGUACGGCCGCAAGGCUAAAACUCAAAGAAAUUGACGGGGGCCCGCACAAGCGGCGGAGCAUGCGGAUUAAUUCGAUGCAACGCGAAGAACCUUACCAAGGCUUGAC